GUUUGAUCCUGGCUCAGAUUGAACGCUGGCGGCAGGCCUAACACAUGCAAGUCGAACGGUAGCACAGAGAGCUUGCUCUCGGGUGACGAGUGGCGGACGGGUGAGUAAUGUCUGGGAAACUGCCCGAUGGAGGGGGAUAACUACUGGAAACGGUAGCUAAUACCGCAUAAUGUCGCAAGACCAAAGAGGGGGACCUUCGGGCCUCUUGCCAUCGGAUGUGCCCAGAUGGGAUUAGCUAGUAGGUGGGGUAACGGCUCACCUAGGCGACGAUCCCUAGCUGGUCUGAGAGGAUGACCAGCCACACUGGAACUGAGACACGGUCCAGACGCCUACGGGAGGCAGCAGUGGGGAAUAUUGCACAAUGGGCGCAAGCCUGAUGCAGCCAUGCCGCGUGUAUGAAGAAGGCCUUCGGGUUGUAAAGUACUUCAGCGAGGAGGAGAGGCGUUGUGGUUAAUAACCACAG
rnacentral:rRNA from 1 species